ensembl:miRNA
GCACAUUGUAGGCCUCAUUAAAUGUUUGUUGAAUGAAAAAAUGAAUCAUCAACAGACAUUAAUUGGGCGCCUGCUCUGUGAUCUC